AGCUCAAUUUGCCUUAGACACGUUUUCUUUUCUUUUUUUCUUCAGGAAUUGUCAAAACACGGUUGAUGAAAUAAAGGGAGAAGCAGACAGGAGCACCCGCUUAGUGAAGGUGGAAAAGCCAGCUUGUCUCAGAGGUCAAUUAAAGGCCAAUUCUGAGCCACUUCAAUCAAAAAGAAAGAAUUAUAUCUUCUCUCCUGGCCUGACAGCAAGCACUUAAGUCCACAGUCCCUGGGAUUGCCUCAACUCAGGGCAGCAAAAACCCAGGGCAAGUCUUUGUGAAACACAGACAAGAAUCAAUCAAAACAUCACAAGCUAAUUAAUGUCAUUUGGAGCCCUGGGAGCAGCUGUAUCACAGUGAGUAGCAUAUUAUAAAAUUGGUGUACAUCAGAAGUACACUCAAGGACAUAGGUUAACUCUCUCACCAAACCCUUUCUGUUUAUUUGCUCUGAGAUAUGUAUUAACAAUAGUUAAGUCUUGGCACUUAAUGCCAGAUACUGCUUAUGCACUUUACAUACAACAACUCAUUUAAUCUUUUCAACAACCCUGGGGGGUCGGUGCUAUUAUUAACUCCCUUUGGAGGGAAAGGAAUAAGGCAGAGAGAUGGUUUAUAACCCACCUCAGAUCCUACAAAGGACAAGUAAGCAACAACCAAAUAUCAAACUUAAGCGGUCUGAGUUCAGAGUUGAGAUUAUUGACCCUCACUCAACUCACCGUCCAAUGGUCAAGUAUUAAAUUAGGAGGCAUUACUUCCCUUAUUCCUAACACAGUGUCUAUCAGCGGGAACUUAGUAUUUGUUACUUAUUUGUGGGCCCAUCACUGCAUUAUGAAAGGGCAUUAAGAGAAAUAUUUGUGAAAUUGAACAGAAAAAAUUUUCAGCAAGUAUUUCUCUUUCAGUUGAGACUUCUAAUAGAGAAGGCUUUUGUGCAGGUGACGUCAAUCAUCAAUCUCUCAAGCAAGCAAGAAGAAUGUAUUGGAACCAUGAGCAAGUGUUGGGGGAAGGGGCCCAGGAUUUAAGAGAACAGAGGCCCCUGUGCCCCAGGGGAGAAAGUAACUCAGUUUCUUGGAGUUGAGAUGGGGCUGAAAACUGUCAUUAAGUGAUGACUUGUGAUAUGAUGACUUUUUUUCUGCCAUCAAAUAUAGAUCAGAUCUAUCCUAAGUUAUAAUGGCUAAGAAUUCGCUAUAAUUCACGUCAUAAAUAAAGUGGGCUCAGUGCAGCAGAUUUCUGGGGUUCUGAUUCAAACAGGAAGUUGGUUAGGCUGUUUGCUGAGAUGGGAAUUGGAUAUGCAAGAUUAGAACUCAAAAAAUACAUGGGUGGAAAAGGAAAAAGAUUGGCAAUGCCUGUACACAGAGGAAGGAAAUCCUAAAGGAAAUCAGUCCUGAAUAUUCAUUGGAAGGACUGAUGCUGAAGCUGAAACUCCAAUACUUUGGCCACCUGAUGCAAAGAACUGACUCAUUGGAAAAGA